rnacentral:rRNA from 1 species
UACGUAGGUGGCAAGCGUUGUCCGGAAUUACUGGGUGUAAAGGGAGUGUAGGCGGGGCUUCAAGUCCGUUGUGAAACCGAUCGGCUCAACUGAUCGUUGCGGCGGAAACUGGAGUUCUUGAGUGAGGUAGAGGCAGGCGGAAUUCCCAGUGUAGCGGUGAAAUGCGUAGAUAUUGGGAGGAACACCAGUGGCGAAGGCGGCCUGCUGGGCCUUAACUGACGCUGAGGCUCGAAAGUGUGGGGAGCAAACAGGAUUAGAUACCCUGGUAGUCCACACUGUAAACGAUGAUUACUAGGUGUGGGGGGACUGACCCCUUCCGUGCCGGAGUGAACACAAUAAGUAAUCCACCUGGGGAGUACGACCGCAAGGUUGAA